rnacentral:ncRNA from 1 species
AUAGAACGCUAGGGGAGCCGGAAAUGCCGGCUGAGAGGAAGACCAUUGUCUUUGACCCUUGACCUGAUUCGGAUCAUGCCGACGUAGGAAAGCUUAAGUCAAAUAUA